rnacentral:misc_RNA from 1 species
CGAAAUGCGAUAAGUAAUGUGAAUUGCAGAAUUCAGUGAAUCAUCGAAUCUUUGAACACACCUUGCGCUCCUUGGUAUUCCUUGGAGCAUGCCUGUUUGAGUAUCAUGAAAUCUUCAAAGUAAAUCUUUUGUUAACUCAAUUGGUUUCUACUUUGGUAUUGGAGGUCUUUGCAGCUUCACACCUGCUCCUCUUUGUUCAUUAGCUGGAUCUCAGUGUUAUGCUUGGUUCCACUCGGCGUGAUAAGUUAUCUAUCGCUGAGGACACUGUAAAAGGUGGCCAAGGUAAAUGCAGAUGAACCGCUUCUAAUAGUCCAUUGACUUGGACAAUACUUUUAUGAUCUGAUCUCAAAUCAGGUAGGACUACCCGCUGAACUUAAGC